rnacentral:rRNA from 1 species
GUUUCGUAGGUGACUGCGGAGGAUCAUUAGUGAAUCUAGGACGUCCAACUUAACUUGGAGUCCGAACUCUCACUUUCUAACCCUGUGCAUCUGUUAAUUGGAAUAGUAGCUCUUCGGAGUGAACCACCAUUCACUUAUAAAACACAAAGUCUAUGAAUGUAUACAAAUUUAUAACAAAACAAAACUUUCAACAACGGAUCUCUUGGCUCUCGCAUCGAUGAAGAACGCAGCGAAAUGCGAUACGUAAUGUGAAUUGCAGAAUUCAGUGAAUCAUCGAAUCUUUGAACGCACCUUGCGCUCCUUGGUAUUCCGAGGAGCAUGCCUGUUUGAGUGUCAUGAAAUCUUCAACCCACCUCUUUCUUAGUGAAUCUGGUGGUGCUUGGUUUCUGAGCGCUGCUCUGCUUCGGCUUAGCUCGUUCGUAAUGCAUUAGCAUCCGCAACCGAACUUCGGAUUGACUUGGCGUAAUAGACUAUUCGCUGAGGAUUCUAGUUUACUAGAGCCGAGUUGGGUUAAAGGAAGCUCCUAAUCCUAAAGUCUAUUUUUUGAUUAGAUCUCAAAUCAGGUAGGACUACCCGCUGAACUUAAGCAUAUCAAUAAGCGGAGGAAAAGAAACUAACAAGGAUUCCCCUAGUAGCGGCGAGCGAAGCGGGAAGAGCUCAAAUUUAUAAUCUGGCACCUUCGGUGUCCGAGUUGUAAUCUCUAGAAGUGUUUUCCGCGUUGGACCGCACACAAGUCUGUUGGAAUACAGCGGCAUAGUGGUGAAACCCCCGUAUAUGGUGCGG